AAGCCUGACUCAACAUCCUUGGUCCACCUCUUCUAAUGAGGAGAAGGUGCAAAGACAAUCUGGGUGGAGGUGAAUUGUCUAUGAGAAUAGAGGUAAGGUAAAUUUGCUAUGAAAUCUUUUGAAAAAAAGGCCAGAACAGGAUAGGAAUCUCACAACAGCACUGUCCAACAGCACUCCAAUUUAGCUCUGUCUGUGCUUAAGGCAAAGCCUUAUUUCAGAGGGGAAGUUAUAAUGCCCUGUAGAUGCUGGGAAGGCUCCAGGUGAUCAAGAGCAAAUUUGUUUUUUCUGAAACAAACGGGAUCUUGUUUCCUCUAUACUGUUUAACUCUUAACACACAAAAAAUGCUAAAGGUAGAAUCAGAGUAAUGAUAAAUAUUAAUUAUGUGGGUGAUACAGUACAGAAUUUAAAUGAAAAUUAUUUUUUAAAAUAUUCAGUUGUUAUAUACUCAGGUAUGCUGAUAUUUCAAUAUAGUGAUUCAAAAGCAUGAUCUUUCAUCACUUAGGUUAUUUGCACUUUAUUUCAAUCGAUGUCAUGAAAUUCCCAGGAACAAACAUGUACUUUAUUUAUUACAAAAUCCCUAUAAUACCUCUAGGAAAGGAGACAUUAUUAGCAAAUGAAAGAUAGAUUGACAUAAUAUCUAAAUAUUUUGGAAAACACUUAUUUUGUAAUAAAAGAAAUGCCUCUUUUAACUGGAAGAUAAAAAACUGGGGUAAAAUUCACCAUUGCCUUCAUAAUUUGAGAGCGGAACUGUUGAAGCUCACUAUUUCGAAGACUGUCAUAGGAGCCAACACUGUCAGCAUUUCUAACGGACGGCUCCUUAGAGUUCUGGCACGCUAUCUUUGGUGUAGACUGGCAUUAUAGUGGAUUAGCUUUUCACUUUCUUUCCAGCUCGUUUUCCCUUCUACAUACACAAUAUGUCUGUGUCUACUUUAUUUCUAUCAAGCUGAAGAAAAUGAGCUGAGGUAGAAGAGAGGGAAAAUUGACAGAGGAUACAUUCCUGACCAGCAUUUGUUAUAUAUUCUCUAACAGAUAGGGAGACGUGUCAAAGGAUGACCAGAAUUUAUUAUCUUUCAAGACACAAAUCCUGUCUUGAUUUGGAUGAAGUUAAAAGGAGUUUAACCUUCAGAAAGUUAUACUUGGAUCUAAGUUUUGAAUGUCUGCCAGUGCUAUUUGAUUAUCUUUCCAACAGGGAUCUAGAAUUUUCCUUAUUCACACUAAUUCUUUUUUGGAAGUUUGCAGAUAGACAAAAUAUACAUUAAAUUUAUUCUUACAAAAAUUUGAGUGUCCUAGUAUAGGCUGUUUCAACACUGAGAAUUGUUAACAUUUGUGCCACAUUUCUUUGUUUUGAGAGGCUGUCCUAUGGUACUCAAUUUGUGGCAACAAAAUGCACCCAAACAUUACCAACAGUCACCUGGGAGGCAAAACCACUCCCAGUUUAGAAUCACUCAACUAAUAGAAAGGAAAACUUAUGCCAUAUUUCUCUUUUUUGUUGUUUGCUUUAUCUUUCUGUUGCACUUAAAACAAGGUAGUAACUGUCAUUUUACACUUUUAUUCUCCUGUUUCUCAACGCUUCGUACUGAUUGACUUUUGGAAGUUUUCCUUUUCAAAAUUAUGCAAAAUUAAAGAUUGAGUCAGAAAUAGUCUUUCUGGCUUCCUAUUAACCAUAAUUCCUUAUUAGCCAGCUCCUUCAUACUUAUGAGUAAAAUGACAUUUAAUAUCUAUAAUAAACUCAAAGUCCUGUGAAAGUCUCAAGUACCUUUUCAACAGCAGAAAGAAAAUUGUUUCAUUAAGUAUGGUUUUAAGGUUAAGUGUAUUUUAUUCCAUUCAGUCUUUGUUUAUCUGUUUAUAUUUUUACUUUGCCUUAAUUUAUGAAAUAUAGCUUGCUGGGUUCUUGGUUGACAAUUAUUGUUGUUUGUUUUUCUUUUGCUAUUUGAAAUAUCUUGACCACUGUCUCCUGACCUCUAUGGUUUCUGACAAGAAGUCAACUGUUAAUCUUAAUGGGGUUCUCUUGUACAUAGUGAUUAAUUUUCUUUUGAUUUUUCAAGAUUUUUUCUUUGUAUUUAUCUUUCAGGUGUUUGGCUGUGAUGUGUCUAGGUGUGAAUCUCUCUAUGCUUAACUUUUUGGAGGUUGUUAAGGUUUUUAGAUAUGUACAGUCUUUUCAGAAACUUUUUAGCCACCAUUUCCUUGAAUAAGUUUCCUUCCCUUUUCUUGCUCUCCUCUCAUUUUGGUACUAACAUUUAUACAUAUGUCAUUUUGUUGGAGCAUGUCCCACAGAUCUCUGAGGCUCUGUUCAUUUUACUUAUUUUUUCUUUUGGUACCUAGGAUUGGGAUACUUCUAUUGAUCUAUCUUUAAUUUCACUUAUUCUUCUUUGUGAUCAAAUCUCCUGUUGAGUCCCUCUCAUAAAUUUUUCAUUUCAGUUAUUUUUUUUGUAACUCAAAAAAAUUGGCUUCUUUUUCUCAUAAUUUCUAAUUAUUAAUACUCUUUAUUUGCUAUAUAUUAUCAUACAUUCCUUUAAUUUUUAAAAUAAAGCUUCUGUGAGUGCUUUAAAUGUAUUUAUAAUAACUGAUUGAAAUAUUUGUCUACUAAAUUCAACAACUAGUUACCUUUAAAAUUAUUUUCUUUAUCCACAUGUUUUCACUCUAUGGGUCAUACCUACAUUUGUAUGCACAAAUUUCAUAGUUUUUGAGACAUUUUACACUGUAAAAUAUAAUUUAUAAAAACUCUGGACUGUGAUUCUCAUCCCUCAGUGUUGGUUGACUCUGGUACUUUAUAUUUACUUGUUUAGCAAAUUAUUUCUGUAAAUUUUGUGAAGUCCUGUUCCUCCAUUGUGUGUAGCCUCUGAUAUCACUACUCAGAUACUUUUUGAAAAAAAAAUUAAGUCUAAAUUACUAAAUUACUAAAGCUUAGUAACCAGCCAGUGAUUGGUCAGAAGUUUUGCUUAAGCCCCCUGUGGCAGUUAGGUUUCCAUGCAUUGUCAGUGGAUCUAUGUGGCCUUGGAAUUCUUCAGAAGUUAAAAGUGUUUACAGAUCUAUUGAUUAUUCAGACAGAGUCUGGGGGCCCACAGAUCCUCCCUUCCAUUGCUCCUGCAUGGGCAUUUUUUCAAGCAGAUACUCAGCCUUCCAGACCACCAGAAAUUAGUGUAAUCUUAGUGGGGUCCUUUUGACUAUUCUUUGUCUCUGGGUCUACCUGUUAAAAUUGUCUGCUUUGCUGUUUUUGUUUUUGUUUUCUACACCUAUAAUGGAGAUGUUAGUCUUUCCUGGUUAAAGGCCACUGUGAUUUCUUUUGGAUUUAGACAACAUUUCUCUGGUUUUGGUUUGUUUGUUUGUUUUCAUUUUAUGUUUCAAAUAAAGUCAACCCCCUCAGGCAAGGAUGCUUAGCUAUUUCUCAUAGCUUUUCAUGCCUUUCCUGGGCAGAAUUUCUGUAACAUAGAGCUGAAGCUAGCAAGAUAAGGGGAGCCACUGGUUCUCACAAGCUGCCCUGGGAAUACUUGGAGUGGAACUUCUAAAUCCUGGAGCUAGGAAGAGAAUAUGGGAACUAUAGGUAUUUAUGGGCUACUCCACCUGCCAGUAUGUGACAUGGAGCAGGAGUGGAAAGGAUGUAGCAGCCUUUCAAAAAAAUAACACAAACCUCUAAUAUUCUUAAUGAGACUCAUAGAUUACCUUAAAUAAAUGCUUCCAAUUUUAUAUAUCUUUUAAAAAUAAAUUUUCAGAGACUGAAUAUAGUUGUUAAUUUUAUAGUUUUGCCUAGUUUUCCUUUUUCUACAAAGAGAGGAUUUCUCAGCUCCUUCUAGCCAUUCUGGAACACUUUGGUUUUAUUUAAUAUAGGUAAUCAAGAUAUGUAAAAGCAAAAUAACUGAAUGGAUUUAGUAAUCUAUAAGGCUCCUUUAAAUUCUUAAUUCUUUAUGAUUUUCUGGAGCAUAACAUACAUGGUAGAGUCUUUUACAACUUACCUCCAUGGAUUAUAAUUUAUUUUGCCUAUUUCAAUAUUUCCCAUGAAAGAAAUUGAAGAUAUAUAUAAAUUAAAUUACAUUUGGGUUAGCAAUUCACUUAAACUGACCAAAAGUUUAGUUUUAUCUAGAAAUUUAAAUAAAUGUGAACAUGUUGCAAUGCUUACCUUUCCUUCACGUGCCUUUACCCAAAUUUCCUCUACCAAAACAUACUAUGUUAUUUGUUCAUGGAAUGCACUGUUUCUUUUUAUUUUUCUUAUGAAACCAGCUUUAGUCAUACAAGCAAUUCAACUCAAAUAGAUAAGAAAAAACCAUCAAAAUUGUGUUUUUCAAAGGAUAAAUGGCACCUUUAAGAUAUGCAUGCUAAAGAGGUUCAGUUAAAAAUGAUAGCCGUCAGAGUUCCUGUCAUGGCUCAGUAGAAACUAAUCUGACUAGUAUUGAUGAGAAUGCAGGUUUAAUCCCUGGUCUUGCACAGUGGGUUAAGGAUCUGGCAUUGCCCUGAGCUGUGGUAUAGGUCCCAGACGCUGCUCAGAUCCCAUGUUGCUGUGGCUUUAGUGUAGGCUGACAGCUACAGCUCUGAUUCAACCCCUAGCCUGGGAACCUC
rnacentral:lncRNA from 1 species